UACGGGGGGGGCAAGCGUUGUUCGGAAUUACUGGGCGUAAAGGGCUCGUAGGCGGCCAACUAAGUCCGACGUGAAAUCCCCAGGCUUAACCUGGGAACUGCGUCGGAUACUGGAUGGCUUGAAUCCGGGAGAGGGAUGCGGAAUUCCAGGUGUAGCGGUGAAAUGCGUAGAUAUCUGGAGGAACACCGGUGGCGAAGGCGGCAUCCUGGACCGGCAUUGACGCUGAUGAGCGAAAGCCAGGGGAGCAAAC
rnacentral:rRNA from 1 species